rnacentral:rRNA from 1 species
AUUCCAGCUCCAAUAGUGUAUAUUAAAGUUGUUGCAGUUAAAAAGCUCGUAGUUGGAUUUCUGGCGGGAGCGAUCGGUCCUUCACUCAGUGUUGGAACCUGAUUGUCUCCUGCCAUCCAUGGAGAAAACUUAUCUGGCAUUAAGUUGUCGGGUAGGCAAUCUCCAUCUUUUACUGUGAAAAAAUUAGAGUGUUCAAAGCAGGCUUAUGCCGUUGAAUAUAUUAGCAUGGAAUAAUAAGAUAGGACUAUGGUACUAUUUUGUUGGUUUGUGCACCAUGGUAAUGAUUAAUAGGGACAGUUGGGGGUAUUCGUAUUCCAUUGUCAGAGGUGAAAUUCUUGGAUUUAUGGAAGACGAACUACUGCGAAAGCAUUUACCAAGGAUGUUUUCAUCG